rnacentral:misc_RNA from 1 species
GAUGAAGAACGUAGCGAAAUGCGAUACGUAAUGUGAAUUGCAGAAUUCCGUGAAUCAUCGAGUCUUUGAACGCACAUUGCGCCCCCUGGUAUUCCGGGGGGCAUGCCUGUCCGAGCGUCAUUGCUGCCCUCAAGCACGGCUUGUGUGUUGGGCUCCGUCCCCCCGGGGACGGGUCCGAAAGGCAGCGGCGGCACCGAGUCCGGUCCUCGAGCGUAUGGGGCUUUGUCACCCGCUCUGUAGGCCCGGCCGGCGCCAGCCGACAACCAAUCAUCCUUUUUUCAGGUUGACCUCGGAUCAGGUAGGGAUACCCGCUGAACUUAAGCAUAUCAAUAAGCGGAGGA